rnacentral:rRNA from 1 species
GGAGGGCGCAAGCGUUGUUCGGAAUCAUUGGGCGUAAAGCGCGCGUAGGCGGCUAGGUAAGUCGGGUGUGAAAUCCCGGGGCUCAACCCCGGAACUGCACUCGAUACUGCCUGGCUAGAGUCUCGGAGAGGAAGGCGGAAUUCCCGGUGUAGAGGUGAAAUUCGUAGAUAUCGGGAGGAACACCAGUGGCGAAGGCGGCCUUCUGGAUGAUGACUGACGCUGAGGUGCGAAAGCGUGGGGAGCAAACAGGGAUUAGAUACCCUGGUAGUCCACGCCGUAAACGUUGGGUGCUAGGUGUCGCGGGUAUUGACCCCCUGCGGUGCCCGCCGUUAACGCAUUUAGCACCCCGCCUGGGGAGUACGGUCGCAAGGCUA